AAGAUCACUCCUGUUCUGUCUCCUUCUACUUGCUGAAGAGCUUUUCCUGGAAUCUCAGACCCACAGAUAAGGCAAUCAUCCUCAGCUGUGAAGGAUUACUGAUGAUAAUUUACUUAAAAGAUCUCAGGCUGGUUUAUGCUAAGCAUGUAAAGUUCCCCUCUUCUCCCUUCAGGACAGGAAUUUUUGGCCCGUACAGCCUGUUGACACUGGAUUUUGGAUCCAGCACUUACAUCUUUGUUCUGGAUGAGCACAACCCUCAGACUGACUACAACACCUGCCAGUCGAUCAUAGGCAAACUUAUUGAUACAGAGCAAGAGCAAAAAAGCAACAAUAGAAACAAUCAAACAAUUCUCUAUCUACCAAUCCUAGGGCUGUCAUCAGAGUAAAGGUACAUCUGGUCAAGAUGCAGGCUCCACUCUGAAGCUCUCUCUCUUAAAUGUCUGGAGGUGGGAUGCUGAGGCCCACAGCCUCCCUCCAGUGGAGUGCAUGAGAUGGGCUACUGGUAUGCCUUCAGUCCAUGGUGGCCUUG
rnacentral:lncRNA from 1 species